rnacentral:tRNA from 1 species
GUCAGGGUGGCCGAGCGGUCUAAGGCGCUGCGUUCAGGUCACAGUUUCCCCCGGAGGCAUGGGUUUGAAUCCCACCCCUGACA